rnacentral:ncRNA from 1 species
AAGAUAGAGGCGCAUCUUAUCAUGAGUAUCGCAAUUUCUCUUGCGAGGGCUGCCGGGCCGUGUGAAAAAGGGAUGGAUGCCGAAGUGUGUGUCGUGGCGGGUACAUUGCUGGCAAUGCGGAAAAUAUCCGUCUUGUUGUUGCAGAAAUGCGGAGUGCUAUCU